UACAGAGGGUGCGAGCGUUAAUCGGAAUGACUGGGCGUAAAGGGCAAGUAGGCGGACCAACAAGUUAGAUGUGAAAUACCCGGGCUUAACCUGGGAGGUGCAUAUAAUACUGUUGGACUAGAGUAUUGGAGAGGUAAUGGGAAUUUCCGGUGUAGCGGUGAAAUGCGUAGAGAUCGGAAAGAACACCAACGGCGAAGGCAAGUUACUGGCCAAAUACAGACGCUGAGGAGCGAAGGCGUGGGGAGCAAACAGG
rnacentral:rRNA from 1 species